rfam:Salmo salar isolate Sally breed double haploid chromosome ssa10, whole genome shotgun sequence.
AUUUUAUUAUAUUGUAAGUCGCUCUGGAUAAGAGCGUCUGCUAAAUGACUUAAA